GGAGUCGCCACCUAGUAAUUUAUUGAGGGCUACUAGGAAACCUGAUGUACUGGUCUUGUCAGAGAUUCACGGGAAAGGGACUGGUUGUGGUUAGGGAAGGUAUUAGCACCCCUAACGCACCCUACCUGAGGUAAGCUGCUUCGUGGACUUGAUGUGUUUUUAAAAAUAAAAUUUUAGCCCAAUUCUAAGGCUUUGAUAAA